AGGACGGCAGGGCUCACUGCCCCACCCACCCGACGGAACCCCUGUGCCCUCCACCAACAAGCUUCAGUGCACCUGCCCUACCAAGACCCAGGAGGGAGGGCACAAAUCCUUCCCCCGGCACUGCUGAGCAUAGGUGCCAAAUAGGGACCUUGUGUGACGGCGGCCCCCCUCCACCUGUGGACAGCGUAAGGCACAUUUCCUGCUGGCCCACUCCUUCCAGGUGCCUAGGGCUCAGACCCAGUACAGCCAAUGACUGAUCAUUUAGUCUUCAGGCCUCCCCAAGGCCACUCCACGCCCAGAACAACGGGCUUCCCACCCCUGUCUGAUUCCUGAUCGCUGCCUAACUCCUACAAGUCCUUGUAAAACUCGGCUUCCUGCCCCUUGUCCAGGAACAGUCCUGCCUCCCCAGUUCAGUGAGCAUCCACAACACCCCGUAUGAAAGCCUAACACUCUGCUGACUUGUCUCCUGCCCCCCAACUUCCCAGCCUCGAUGACGUUUGACCAAAGAACACAUUCUCAUUCCUCCGUGAUCCCACAGCUCUGGGCCCAGCGUCUGGUCCAUAAGAAAUGGUAGUUGAAGACGAAUCGUCAACCUAAAUGUGAAGCCCAAAUAGAACUAGAAAAAUACUAGAGGCAAACAGGAGAAAAUCUUUGUGAUCUUGAGUUUGGCAAAGAUCUCUCACAUGUAACACCAAAAGCAUGGUCCAUAAGAGAGAACAUUAAAAAACAAACAAA